GUGAGUCGUCGCGUGAGAAAAUGACACCCAGAAUUGUCACAUAACACGAGUACGCAUAUACCAAAAAACAAGCUUAAACAGUGACGUCUUCGAACGGCUUACACUCGUUACAUAAAAGUUGAAAAUUUGCGAUGGGACGAGAGGAAAGAGUUGAGCGUAACUGCUGACAUAUGAACGAAAAGGAAAGACAAUUGGUUAAAUCGAUAGAGAACCCAGGCAUGCAGUUACAGUAGUCAAUGGAAGAGCUAGGAGGUUUCCUGAGAAGCUCAAACACAAUCUUAUAAUACCAAUAUUUAAAAAUAAAGGAUCUAAACAGCUAUCGUCCAAUUAAUAUCAUUUGGAAAAGGUCAAUGGUUACAGUGUCGUUUAGUUUAAAUAAAUAAAUAAAUGUGAAAACUGUAUUAUGUACAAAGGAUGUAAUGUAGUGAUAUAAAUAAAA